rnacentral:lncRNA from 1 species
AAUUCCCUGGGAACAACACUCAAGGAAGACGGGGGAUGUAACAAUCCAAAAUCAAAUGCUCAACUCUAAUUGAGGAAGGACAUGGAGAACAUGCAUCCGACCAAAAACCGCUAAAGACUCAGCACUCAGAGGAAUGAAGAAUAUAUAUAUCAGUAGCAAUCAAGUAGGGAUCAAAACAACUCCAACUUCAAAACUCAACUCUCAAAAGAGGAGGAAAUAACUGCUAGGGGAUAAGCAAAGAUCUUGCUUAAAGCUCACACUCUCCGGAAGAGGAGAAAACACAG